rnacentral:sRNA from 1 species
AGGACAGCCUUGGACGCUGCAGUCCUUUGUUUAACAAUGGAACAGGUGUGACCGUGCACAGCAGCUGUGCAAGCUUCCCAACACAAUCAUACCAUUGUGCCCAAUCCCUGGCCUGCCAGGGUCACCUUUAGGGGUGAGGGAUUAGUUCAGUGUCCACGCUCAUCAAGACAUUUGCAUCU